CAUGGGAAUCCACUAAAAGUGCCCAGUGACCUAUCACUGCCGUAAAGUGUCAGCUGCCUGCCUCCGAUGCUCCUGUGUUUCUGAAGAUGGGAAAAUCCACCCCGUGGCAACUCCUUGAUUUGCCCUUAUCACAGCAGGUGAAAGGAGAAGUGAUGCAAGUGUGGGAAUAUCAGCUGCUGGGAGUCCAGCCCUGCUAAGAAUGAAUUCGUUUUGCAUAUUUUUUGGACAAUUCUCUGCCCCCUAAAAGGCAAAAUCAACUCCAGAGUAGGACCCCGAGGGGGCAGCAGCGAGCAAAGUAAGAUUAAAUCCAAAGCGUGUUGCUUUUCAAAGCCCCACCUACAAACCAA